GGGUUGUGAGGUUAAGCGACUAAGCGUACACGGUGGAUGCCCUGGCAGUCAGAGGCGAUGAAGGACGUGCUAAUCUGCGAUAAGCGUCGGUAAGGUGAUAUGAACCGUUAUAACCGGCGAUUUCCGAAUGGGGAAACCCAGUGUGUUUCGACACACUAUCAUUAACUGAAUCCAUAGGUUAAUGAGGCGAACCGGGGGAACUGAAACAUCUAAGUACCCCGAGGAAAAGAAAUCAACCGAGAUUCCCCCAGUAGCGGCGAGCGAACGGGGAGCAGCCCAGAGCCUGAAUCAGUGUGUGUGUUAGUGGAAGCGUCUGGAAAGGCGCGCGAUACAGGGUGACAGCCCCGUACACAAAAAUACACAUACUGUGAGCUCGAUGAGUAGGGCGGGACACGUGGUAUCCUGUCUGAAUAUGGGGGGACCAUCCUCCAAGGCUAAAUACUCCUGACUGACCGAUAGUGAACCAGUACCGUGAGGGAAAGGCGAAAAGAACCCCGGCGAGGGGAGUGAAAAAGAACCUGAAACCGUGUACGUACAAGCAGUGGGAGCACGCUUAGGCGUGUGACUGCGUACCUUUUGUAUAAUGGGUCAGCGACUUAUAUUCUGUAGCAAGGUUAACCGAAUAGGGGAGCCGAAGGGAAACCGAGUCUUAACUGGGCGUUAAGUUGCAGGGUAUAGACCCGAAACCCGGUGAUCUAGCCAUGGGCAGGUUGAAGGUUGGGUAACACUAACUGGAGGACCGAACCGACUAAUGUUGAAAAAUUAGCGGAUGACUUGUGGCUGGGGGUGAAAGGCCAAUCAAACCGGGAGAUAGCUGGUUCUCCCCGAAAGCUAUUUAGGUAGCGCCUCGUGAAUUCAUCUCCGGGGGUAGAGCACUGUUUCGGCAAGGGGGUCAUCCCGACUUACCAACCCGAUGCAAACUGCGAAUACCGGAGAAUGUUAUCACGGGAGACACACGGCGGGUGCUAACGUCCGUCGUGAAGAGGGAAACAACCCAGACCGCCAGCUAAGGUCCCAAAGUCAUGGUUAAGUGGGAAACGAUGUGGGAAGGCCCAGACAGCCAGGAUGUUGGCUUAGAAGCAGCCAUCAUUUAAAGAAAGCGUAAUAGCUCACUGGUCGAGUCGGCCUGCGCGGAAGAUGUAACGGGGCUAAACCAUGCACCGAAGCUGCGGCAGCGACGCUUAUGCGUUGUUGGGUAGGGGAGCGUUCUGUAAGCCUGCGAAGGUGUGCUGUGAGGCAUGCUGGAGGUAUCAGAAGUGCGAAUGCUGACAUAAGUAACGAUAAAGCGGGUGAAAAGCCCGCUCGCCGGAAGACCAAGGGUUCCUGUCCAACGUUAAUCGGGGCAGGGUGAGUCGACCCCUAAGGCGAGGCCGAAAGGCGUAGUCGAUGGGAAACAGGUUAAUAUUCCUGUACUUGGUGUUACUGCGAAGGGGGGACGGAGAAGGCUAUGUUGGCCGGGCGACGGUUGUCCCGGUUUAAGCGUGUAGGCUGGUUUUCCAGGCAAAUCCGGAAAAUCAAGGCUGAGGCGUGAUGACGAGGCACUACGGUGCUGAAGCAACAAAUGCCCUGCUUCCAGGAAAAGCCUCUAAGCAUCAGGUAACAUCAAAUCGUACCCCAAACCGACACAGGUGGUCAGGUAGAGAAUACCAAGGCGCUUGAGAGAACUCGGGUGAAGGAACUAGGCAAAAUGGUGCCGUAACUUCGGGAGAAGGCACGCUGAUAUGUAGGUGAAGUCCCUCGCGGAUGGAGCUGAAAUCAGUCGAAGAUACCAGCUGGCUGCAACUGUUUAUUAAAAACACAGCACUGUGCAAACACGAAAGUGGACGUAUACGGUGUGACGCCUGCCCGGUGCCGGAAGGUUAAUUGAUGGGGUCAGCGCAAGCGAAGCUCUUGAUCGAAGCCCCGGUAAACGGCGGCCGUAACUAUAACGGUCCUAAGGUAGCGAAAUUCCUUGUCGGGUAAGUUCCGACCUGCACGAAUGGCGUAAUGAUGGCCAGGCUGUCUCCACCCGAGACUCAGUGAAAUUGAACUCGCUGUGAAGAUGCAGUGUACCCGCGGCAAGACGGAAAGACCCCGUGAACCUUUACUAUAGCUUGACACUGAACAUUGAGCCUUGAUGUGUAGGAUAGGUGGGAGGCUUUGAAGUGUGGACGCCAGUCUGCAUGGAGCCGACCUUGAAAUACCACCCUUUAAUGUUUGAUGUUCUAACGUGGACCCGUAAUCCGGGUUGCGGACAGUGUCUGGUGGGUAGUUUGACUGGGGCGGUCUCCUCCUAAAGAGUAACGGAGGAGCACGAAGGUUGGCUAAUCCUGGUCGGACAUCAGGAGGUUAGUGCAAUGGCAUAAGCCAGCUUGACUGCGAGCGUGACGGCGCGAGCAGGUGCGAAAGCAGGUCAUAGUGAUCCGGUGGUUCUGAAUGGAAGGGCCAUCGCUCAACGGAUAAAAGGUACUCCGGGGAUAACAGGCUGAUACCGCCCAAGAGUUCAUAUCGACGGCGGUGUUUGGCACCUCGAUGUCGGCUCAUCACAUCCUGGGGCUGAAGUAGGUCCCAAGGGUAUGGCUGUUCGCCAUUUAAAGUGGUACGCGAGCUGGGUUUAGAACGUCGUGAGACAGUUCGGUCCCUAUCUGCCGUGGGCGCUGGAGAACUGAGGGGGGCUGCUCCUAGUACGAGAGGACCGGAGUGGACGCAUCACUGGUGUUCGGGUUGUCAUGCCAAUGGCACUGCCCGGUAGCUAAAUGCGGAAGAGAUAAGUGCUGAAAGCAUCUAAGCACGAAACUUGCCCCGAGAUGAGUUCUCCCUGACUCCUUGAGAGUCCUGAAGGAACGUUGAAGACGACGACGUUGAUAGGCCGGGUGUGUAAGCGCAGCGAUGCGUUGAGCUAACCGGUACUAAUGAACCGUGAGGCUUAACCUUACAACGCCGAAGGUGUUU
rnacentral:rRNA from 1 species